GAUGAACGCUGGCGGCGUGCCUAAUACAUGCGAGUCGAGCGAACAGACGAGGAGCUUGCUCCUCUGACGUUAGCGGCGGACGGGUGAGUAACACGUGGAUAACCUACCUAUAAGACUGGGAUAACUUCGGGAAACCGGAGCUAAUACCGGAUAAUAUAUUGAACCGCAUGUUUCAAUAGUGAAAGACGGUUUUGCUGUCACUUAUAGAUGGAUCCGCGCCGCAUUAGCUAGUUGGUAAGGUAACGGCUUACCAAGGCAACGAUGCGUAGCCGACCUGAGAGGGUGAUCGGCCACACUGGAACUGAGACACGGUCCAGACUCCUACGGGAGGCAGCAGUAGGGAAUCUUCCGCAAUGGGCGAAAGCCUGACGGAGCAACGCCGCGUGAGUGAUGAAGGUCUUCGGAUCGUAAAACUCUGUUAUUAGGGAAGAACAAAUGUGUAAGUAACUAUGCACGUCUUGACGGUACCUAAUCAGAAAGCCACGGCUAACUACGUG
rnacentral:rRNA from 1 species